rnacentral:lncRNA from 1 species
CAUAUUAUGUGGUCAUGAGGAUCCCCACCAUUUGCUCAGGAGGGGAUCCAAUUCCGGAUUAUAAUAUGACCUCUCUCGAAGGCUUUUUUUUUUGUGGAACCGGAUCCUCUUCUGAGCAUUGUAAACUGAGCCCCCUGAGCAAAAGAUAUGGGUCUUUGAAAUUUAAUCCAAUGACUGCAAUUAUUAUAACUUUAAAGGAGUUUCAUGUUUGUAGCCGUUAGAUCAAAUUUUAACAACUCAGAUCAUUUGCUUAUGAGGCUCAGUUUACAAUGCUCGGUUCCUUUUUUUUGUUACAAUUUCUUAAAUAUAUUUUGCUACAAGUUCCGAAAGAUAAAAGGCUGGCGUCAGUAGAAGCCAUUCAAGCCAAGAGUCAUGGUCAUGGGCUACAAGAUGAAAACAUUUGUCAACAUUACCAAAGCAUAACUUUAGACCGGGACUAAAGAAUCUCCACGUCUAAAAACAAAACCAUUUGAUUAAAAUGUUUUGUAUCAUUAAAAUGUUUUGUGAUUGUUUUUAGAACUACAUUGUCAUAGACAUUUCUAUUAGAUUUUAAGGAAUUAUUAAACUCUCAAGAGGCGUGUACUUUUUAUUUUUACAAGAAACAAUAGCCAAAUUUUAUUGAUCAACCAACACAAGAACAACCAGAAAGAGGUGUCAAAUCGGUAUGUUCUCCAAUUACUAAUAAUUUGAAUAGAGUUAAUGUGUACAAACAUACAAAGAUAGAAAAAGCUACAUGGCCACCACAUGAAAAUGAACAAUAGGAACCACUAGUGUAGAUCUACCACAAUAACGACAGACGUGACAGGCCAUCACCAGGAACACACAAAAUCAUCACCAAAAGGCUAGACCACGUCACCUGCUACAACGACACAAACAUCUACAACAAAACUAAACUAAUAUAAACUAAGAGAAAUAAUCCACCAAUCAGCUUCAUCUUCACAGUGAAUGUUAAACCGCCACCUUCAAUUCUAUAUAUAUCUGUAGUAACCACAUGCCAAACAAGGCGAGACAAUUUCAGAUUUGGAAAUAUAAGAUGGGACCGCUACAUAUUUGACUAGAUAAGGUUGUAUUGCCACAGAUCGGACCAAAUACGCCAUCUAAACCAUGUGAACCAUCAUACAAACAGGUUGAAAGGAUGAAUUCGGUCAACUGACAACCCAACACACCAAAGUGACGAGGAAUUUAGGGACGAGUUGAGC